rnacentral:sRNA from 1 species
AUGGUCUUUGGAGAUUUCAAAACAGCAUCAUCAGAAUGAGAUCCUGUCUCAAAAAAUAAAAGAAAUAACAUCUUUCCCCUAUCAUCUUCCAACACAGGUGCAGCUGGACCUAGCUGAGACAGACCUUUCCCAGGGUGUAGCCCGGUGGUAUGACCUGAUGGACGACAAGGACAAGGGCAGCUCCUAGGAGCUGGCGAGUCCCAGCCUGACUGCUCUGUCUUCCUGCCUUCGUCUCGCUCCAUCACUGCCUCAAUGUGAUGAGCCUAAAGCUAGGGUCCAAGGGCAGAGCCUGUGCCCUUCAGCCCUUUCACCUAACAGGCCCAUAUUCGGGCCUUUGCCUGACCAAAGAGAAGAACCGUAUGUUCCCUUUACUGCACGGCCUUUAUCCUUCUGGGACCCUGGGGCGGGGACCUGAGCUGGCUGUUUCCUGCUUUGCCUGCACAUUGUUCUCCCUUCCUCCCAACUCCUCAGGGCCUUCUGUAUCUGUGCCUGGCCAGUGGCAGCACUAGCAGUGGUAUUAGCUUAUGCCAAAUACAGCUUUGGAAGGAUCUUUUUUUCUUUAACUAGAUGGUCACCUUCUUCCCUACCACACAUGGGUGGGAAGGUGGACAGGCUAACCUCUCCAGCUGUGAGCCUCUUAGACUACUGCAUGUAGCAAAUGUUCAGCAGCUUAGGCCCCCAUGUCCAGUUCUGUCCCCACUUUCCUCAACCCUGUC